rnacentral:tRNA from 1 species
GGAGAGAUGGCGAAACGGUAGCCGCAGCGGUUUGCUAAACCGUCGGGAAAUUCCCUUGCAGGUUCAACUCCUGUUCUCUCCG